UUAAGCGACUAAGCGUACACGGUGGAUGCCCUGGCAGUCAGAGGCGAUGAAGGACGUGCUAAUCUGCGAUAAGCGUCGGUAAGGUGAUAUGAACCGUUAUAACCGGCGAUUUCCGAAUGGGGAAACCCAGUGUGUUUCGACACACUAUCAUUAACUGAAUCCAUAGGUUAAUGAGGCGAACCGGGGGAACUGAAACAUCUAAGUACCCCGAGGAAAAGAAAUCAACCGAGAUUCCCCCAGUAGCGGCGAGCGAACGGGGAGGAGCCCAGAGCCUGAAUCAGUGUGUGUGUUAGUGGAAGCGUCUGGAAAGGCGCGCGAUACAGGGUGACAGCCCCGUACACAAAAAUGCACAUGCUGUGAGCUCGAUGAGUAGGGCGGGACACGUGGUAUCCUGUCUGAAUAUGGGGGGACCAUCCUCCAAGGCUAAAUACUCCUGACUGACCGAUAGUGAACCAGUACCGUGAGGGAAAGGCGAAAAGAACCCCGGCGAGGGGAGUGAAAAAGAACCUGAAACCGUGUACGUACAAGCAGUGGGAGCCUCUUUUAUGGGGUGACUGCGUACCUUUUGUAUAAUGGGUCAGCGACUUAUAUUCUGUAGCAAGGUUAACCGAAUAGGGGAGCCGAAGGGAAACCGAGUCUUAACUGGGCGUUAAGUUGCAGGGUAUAGACCCGAAACCCGGUGAUCUAGCCAUGGGCAGGUUGAAGGUUGGGUAACACUAACUGGAGGACCGAACCGACUAAUGUUGAAAAAUUAGCGGAUGACUUGUGGCUGGGGGUGAAAGGCCAAUCAAACCGGGAGAUAGCUGGUUCUCCCCGAAAGCUAUUUAGGUAGCGCCUCGUGAAUUCAUCUCCGGGGGUAGAGCACUGUUUCGGCAAGGGGGUCAUCCCGACUUACCAACCCGAUGCAAACUGCGAAUACCGGAGAAUGUUAUCACGGGAGACACACGGCGGGUGCUAACGUCCGUCGUGAAGAGGGAAACAACCCAGACCGCCAGCUAAGGUCCCAAAGUCAUGGUUAAGUGGGAAACGAUGUGGGAAGGCCCAGACAGCCAGGAUGUUGGCUUAGAAGCAGCCAUCAUUUAAAGAAAGCGUAAUAGCUCACUGGUCGAGUCGGCCUGCGCGGAAGAUGUAACGGGGCUAAACCAUGCACCGAAGCUGCGGCAGCGACACUGUGUGUUGUUGGGUAGGGGAGCGUUCUGUAAGCCUGUGAAGGUGUACUGUGAGGUAUGCUGGAGGUAUCAGAAGUGCGAAUGCUGACAUAAGUAACGAUAAAGCGGGUGAAAAGCCCGCUCGCCGGAAGACCAAGGGUUCCUGUCCAACGUUAAUCGGGGCAGGGUGAGUCGACCCCUAAGGCGAGGCCGAAAGGCGUAGUCGAUGGGAAACAGGUUAAUAUUCCUGUACUUGGUGUUACUGCGAAGGGGGGACGGAGAAGGCUAUGUUGGCCGGGCGACGGUUGUCCCGGUUUAAGCGUGUAGGCUGGUUUUCCAGGCAAAUCCGGAAAAUCAAGGCUGAGGCGUGAUGACGAGGCACUACGGUGCUGAAGCAACAAAUGCCCUGCUUCCAGGAAAAGCCUCUAAGCAUCAGGUAACAUCAAAUCGUACCCCAAACCGACACAGGUGGUCAGGUAGAGAAUACCAAGGCGCUUGAGAGAACUCGGGUGAAGGAACUAGGCAAAAUGGUGCCGUAACUUCGGGAGAAGGCACGCUGAUAUGUAGGUGAAGUCACUUGCUCAUGGAGCUGAAAUCAGUCGAAGAUACCAGCUGGCUGCAACUGUUUAUUAAAAACACAGCACUGUGCAAACACGAAAGUGGACGUAUACGGUGUGACGCCUGCCCGGUGCCGGAAGGUUAAUUGAUGGGGUCAGCGCAAGCGAAGCUCUUGAUCGAAGCCCCGGUAAACGGCGGCCGUAACUAUAACGGUCCUAAGGUAGCGAAAUUCCUUGUCGGGUAAGUUCCGACCUGCACGAAUGGCGUAAUGAUGGCCAGGCUGUCUCCACCCGAGACUCAGUGAAAUUGAACUCGCUGUGAAGAUGCAGUGUACCCGCGGCAAGACGGAAAGACCCCGUGAACCUUUACUAUAGCUUGACACUGAACAUUGAGCCUUGAUGUGUAGGAUAGGUGGGAGGCUUAGAAGUGUGGACGCCAGUCUGCAUGGAGCCGACCUUGAAAUACCACCCUUUAAUGUUUGAUGUUCUAACGUUGACCCGUGAUCCGGGUUGCGGACAGUGUCUGGUGGGUAGUUUGACUGGGGCGGUCUCCUCCUAAAGAGUAACGGAGGAGCACGAAGGUUGGCUAAUCCUGGUCGGACAUCAGGAGGUUAGUGCAAUGGCAUAAGCCAGCUUGACUGCGAGCGUGACGGCGCGAGCAGGUGCGAAAGCAGGUCAUAGUGAUCCGGUGGUUCUGAAUGGAAGGGCCAUCGCUCAACGGAUAAAAGGUACUCCGGGGAUAACAGGCUGAUACCGCCCAAGAGUUCAUAUCGACGGCGGUGUUUGGCACCUCGAUGUCGGCUCAUCACAUCCUGGGGCUGAAGUAGGUCCCAAGGGUAUGGCUGUUCGCCAUUUAAAGUGGUACGCGAGCUGGGUUUAGAACGUCGUGAGACAGUUCGGUCCCUAUCUGCCGUGGGCGCUGGAGAACUGAGGGGGGCUGCUCCUAGUACGAGAGGACCGGAGUGGACGCAUCACUGGUGUUCGGGUUGUCAUGCCAAUGGCACUGCCCGGUAGCUAAAUGCGGAAGAGAUAAGUGCUGAAAGCAUCUAAGCACGAAACUUGCCCCGAGAUGAGUUCUCCCUGACCCUUUAAGGGUCCUGAAGGAACGUUGAAGACGACGACGUUGAUAGGCCGGGUGUGUAAGCGCAGCGAUGCGUUGAGCUAACCGGUACUAAUGAACCGUGAGGCUUAACCUU
rnacentral:rRNA from 1 species